AGAACGAACGCUGGCGGCAUGCCUAACACAUGCAAGUCGAACGAGACCUUCGGGUCUAGUGGCGCACGGGUGCGUAACGCGUGGGAAUCUGCCCUUGGGUUCGGAAUAACAGCGAGAAAUUGCUGCUAAUACCGGAUGAUGACGUAAGUCCAAAGAUUUAUCGCCCAAGGAUGAGCCCGCGUAGGAUUAGCUUGUUGGUGAGGUAAGAGCUCACCAAGGCGACGAUCCUUAGCUGGUCUGAGAGGAUGAUCAGCCACACUGGGACUGAGACACGGCCCAGACUCCUACGGGAGGCAGCGAGUGGGGAAUAUUGGACAAGUGGGACGAAAGCCUGAUCCAGCCAUCGCCGCGUGUGUGAAGAAGGU
rnacentral:rRNA from 1 species